rnacentral:rRNA from 1 species
CCAAUAGCGUAUAUUAAAGUUGUUGCAGUUAAAAAGCUCGUAGUUGAAUUUCGGGAUCGACGGGUCGGUCGCGCCUCUGGUGUGUACUGGCCCUGUCGGUUUCUCCCUUCUGAAGAACCGCGAUGUCAUUAAUUUGGUGUCGUGGGAAAUCAGGACUGGUCCUUUGAAAAAAUUAGAGUGUUUAAAGCAGGCAUUCGCUUGAAUACAUUAGCAUGGAAUAAUGAAAUAGGACGUUUGAUCUUAUUUUGUUGGUUUCUAAGAUCGACGUAAUGAUUAAUAGGGAUAGUUGGGGGCAUUAGUAUUCAAUUGUCAGAGGUGAAAUUCUUGGAUUUAUUGAAGACUAACUACUGCGAAAGCAUUUGCCAAGGAUGUUUUCAUUAAUCAAGAACGAAAGUUAGGGGAUCGAAGACGAUCAGAUACCGUCGUAGUCUUAACCAUAAACUAUGCCGACUAGGGAUCGGAUGAUGUUAAUUUUUUAAUGACUCAUUCGGCGCCUUACG